GAGUCUAUCAUCUAAUGGAUAAGAUAGCGGUCUUCGAAACCGCUAAUGUUGGUUCAAAUCCAACUAGACUUA
rnacentral:tRNA from 1 species